rnacentral:rRNA from 1 species
GACGAACGCUGGCGGCGUGCCUAAUACAUGCAAGUCGAACGCAGUUGGGACGGGUGAGUAACACGUGGGUAACCUCCCAUCAGAGGGGAUAACACUUGGAAACAGGUGCUAAUCCGACACUGAUGGAUGGACCCGCGGUGCAUUAGCUAGUUGGUGAGGUAACGGCUCACCAAGGCCACGAUGCAUAGGCGACAUGAGAGGGUGAUCGGCCAGACUGGGUCGGAGACAGAGCCCAGACUCCUACGCGGGGCAGCAGUAGAGAAUCUUCGGGAAUGGAGGAGUGUCUGAUCGAGCAACGCCGCGUGAGUGAAGAAGGUUUGAGGAUCGUAAAACUCUGUUGUUAGAGAAGCGGUAUCUAACCAGAAAGCCACGGCUAACUACGUGCCAGCAGCCGCGGUAAUUC